rnacentral:rRNA from 1 species
AGAGUUUGAUCAUGGCUCAGAUUGAACGCUGGCGGCAGGCCUAACACAUGCAAGUCGAACGGUAACAGGAAGAAGCUUGCUUCUUUGCUGACGAGUGGCGGACGGGUGAGUAAUGUCUGGGAAACUGCCUGAUGGAGGGGGAUAACUACUGGAAACGGUAGCUAAUACCGCAUAACGUCGCAAGACCAAAGAGGGGGACCUUCGGGCCUCUUGCCAUCGGAUGUGCCCAGAUGGGAUUAGCUAGUAGGUGGGGUAACGGCUCACCUAGGCGACGAUCCCUAGCUGGUCUGAGAGGAUGACCAGCCACACUGGAACUGAGACACGGUCCAGACUCCUACGGGAGGCAGCAGUGGGGAAUAUUGCACAAUGGGCGCAAGCCUGAUGCAGCCAUGCCGCGUGUAUGAAGAAGGCCUUCGGGUUGUAAAGUACUUUCAGCGGGGAGGAAGGGAGUAAAGUUAAUACCUUUGCUCAUUGACGUUACCCGCAGAAGAAGCACCGGCUAACUCCGUGCCAGCAGCCGCGGUAAUACGGAGGGUGCAAGCGUUAAUCGGAAUUACUGGGCGUAAAGCGCACGCAGGCGGUUUGUUAAGUCAGAUGUGAAAUCCCCGGGCUCAACCUGGGAACUGCAUCUGAUACUGGCAAGCUUGAGUCUCGUAGAGGGGGGUAGAAUUCCAGGUGUAGCGGUGAAAUGCGUAGAGAUCUGGAGGAAUACCGGUGGCGAAGGCGGCCCCCUGGACGAAGACUGACGCUCAGGUGCGAAAGCGUGGGGAGCAAACAGGAUUAGAUACCCUGGUAGUCCACGCCGUAAACGAUGUCGACUUGGAGGUUGUGCCCUUGAGGCGUGGCUUCCGGAGCUAACGCGUUAAAGUCGACCGCCUGGGGAGUACGGCCGCAAGGUUAAACUCAAAUGAAUUGACGGGGGCCCGCACAAGCGGUGGAGCAUGUGGUUUAAUUCGAUGCAACGCGAAGAACCUUACCUGGUCUUGACAUCCACGGAAGUUUUCAGAGAUGAGAAUGUGCCUUCGGGAACCGUGAGACAGGUGCUGCAUGGCUGUCGUCAGCUCGUGUUGUGAAAUGUUGGGUUAAGUCCCGCAACGAGCGCAACCCUUAUCCUUUGUUGCCAGCGGUCCGGCCGGGAACUCAAAGGAGACUGCCAGUGAUAAACUGGAGGAAGGUGGGGAUGACGUCAAGUCAUCAUGGCCCUUACGACCAGGGCUACACACGUGCUACAAUGGCGCAUACAAAGAGAAGCGACCUCGCGAGAGCAAGCGGACCUCAUAAAGUGCGUCGUAGUCCGGAUUGGAGUCUGCAACUCGACUCCAUGAAGUCGGAAUCGCUAGUAAUCGUGGAUCAGAAUGCCACGGUGAAUACGUUCCCGGGCCUUGUACACACCGCCCGUCACACCAUGGGAGUGGGUUGCAAAAGAAGUAGGUAGCUUAACCUUCGGGAGGGCGCUUACCACUUUGUGAUUCAUGACUGGGGUGAAGUCGUAACAAGGUAACCGUAGGGGAACCUGCGGUUGGAUCACCU